rnacentral:rRNA from 1 species
GGAUUAGAUACCCUGGUAGUCCACGCUGUAAACGAUGGUUACUAGCUGUUUGGUUUUCGGACUGAGUGGCUAAGCGAAAGUGAUAAGUAACCCACCUGGGGAGUACGAUCGCAAGAUUGAAACUCAAAGGAAUUGACGGGGGCCCGCACAAGCGGUGGAGCAUGUGGUUUAAUUCGAUGAUACGCGAGGAACCUUACCAGGGCUUAAAUGUGGAUUGACAGGUUUAGAGAUAGACUUUUCUUCGGACAAUUCACAAGGUGCUGCAUGGUUGUCGUCAGCUCGUGUCG